UUUGACGUUAGCUGCAGAAGAAGCACCGGCUAACUCCGUGCCAGCAGCCGCGGUAAUACGGAGGGUGCGAGCGUUAAUCGGAAUUACUGGGCGUAAAGCGCAUGCAGGUGGUUUGUUAAGUCAGAUGUGAAAGCCCGGGGCUCAACCUCGGAAUUGCAUUUGAAACUGGCAGGCUAGAGUACUGUAGAGGGGGGUAGAAUUUCAGGUGUAGCGGUGAAAUGCGUAGAGAUCUGAAGGAAUACCGGUGGCGAAGGCGGCCCCCUGGACAGAUACUGACACUCAGAUGCGAAAGCGUGGGGAGCAAACAGGAUUAGAUACCCUGGUAGUCCACGCCGUAAACGAUGUCUACUUGGAGGUUGUGGCCUUGAGCCGUGGCUUUCGGAGCUAACGCGUUAAGUAGACCGCCUGGGGAGUACGGUCGCAAGAUUAAAACUCAAAUGAAUUGACGGGGGCCCGCACAAGCGGUGGAGCAUGUGGUUUAAUUCGAUGCAACGCGAAGAACCUUACCUACUCUUGACAUCCAGAGAACUUAGCAGAGAUGCUUUGGUGCCUUCGGGAACUCUGAGACAGGUGCUGCAUGGCUGUCGUCAGCUCGUGUUGUGAAAUGUUGGGUUAAGUCCCGCAACGAGCGCAACCCUUAUCCUUGUUUGCCAGCGAGUAAUGUCGGGAACUCCAGGGAGACUGCCGGUGAUAAACCGGAGGAAGGUGGGGACGACGUCAAGUCAUCAUGGCCCUUACGAGUAGGGCUACACACGUGCUACAAUGGCGCAUACAGAGGGCGGCCAACUUGCGAAAGUGAGCGAAUCCCAAAAAGUGCGUCGUAGUCCGGAUUGGAGUCUGCAACUCGACUCCAUGAAGUCGGAAUCGCUAGUAAUCGUGAAUCAGAAUGUCACGGUGAAUACGUUCCCGGGCCUUGUACACACCGCCCGUCACACCAUGGGAGUGGGCUGCAAAAGAAGCAGGUAGUUUAACCUUCGGGAGGACGCUUGCCACUUUGUGGUUCAUGACUGGGGUGAAGUCGUAACAAGGUAGCGCUAGGGGAACCUGGCGCUGGAUCACCUCCUUAUACGAA
rnacentral:rRNA from 1 species